AGUAGGGCGGGACACGUGUUAUCCUGUCUGAAUAUGGGGGGACCAUCCUCCAAGGCUAAAUACUCCUGACUGACCGAUAGUGAACCAGUACCGUGAGGGAAAGGCGAAAAGAACCCCUGUGAGGGGAGUGAAAUAGAACCUGAAACCGUGUACGUACAAGCAGUAGGAGCACCUUCGUGGUGUGACUGCGUACCUUUUGUAUAAUGGGUCAGCGACUUAUAUUCAGUGGCAAGGUUAACCAUCUAGGGGAGCCGUAGGGAAACCGAGUCUUAACUGGGCGCCAUAGUCUCUGGAUAUAGACCCGAAACCGAGUGAUCUAGCCAUGGGCAGGUUGAAGGUUGAGUAACAUCAACUGGAGGACCGAACCGACUAAUGUUGAAAAAUUAGCGGAUGACUUGUGGCUAGGGGUGAAAGGCCAAUCAAACUCGGAGAUAGCUGGUUCUCCCCGAAAGCUAUUUAGGUAGCGCCUCGGACGAAUACUACUGGGGGUAGAGCACUGUUAAGGCUAGGGGGUCAUCCCGACUUACCAACCCUUUGCAAACUCCGAAUACCAGUAAGUACUAUCCGGGAGACACACGGCGGGUGCUAACGUCCGUCGUGGAGAGGGAAACAACCCAGACCGCCAGCUAAGGUCCCAAAUUACAGCUAAGUGGGAAACGAUGUGGGAAGGCUUAGACAGCUAGGAUGUUGGCUUAGAAGCAGCCAUCAUUUAAAGAAAGCGUAAUAGCUCACUAGUCGAGUCGGCCUGCGCGGAAGAUGUAACGGGGCUAAGUUGUAAACCGAAGCUGCGGCAAUGUUCUUUGAACAUUGGGUAGGGGAGCGUUCUGUAAGCCGUUGAAGGUGUGUUGUAAAGCAUGCUGGAGGUAUCAGAAGUGCGAAUGCUGACAUGAGUAACGACAAGGGGGGUGAAAAACCUCCCCGCCGGAAGACCAAGGGUUCCUGUCCAACGUUAAUCGGGGCAGGGUAAGUCGACCCCUAAGGCGAGGCCGAAAGGCGUAGUCGAUGGGAAACGGG
rnacentral:rRNA from 1 species